rnacentral:rRNA from 1 species
CCGUUGCUGGCUUGUGCGUUGUCUAGCGCCUGGCCGCAACGAGUAGGAGGGUCGUGGCGGUUGCGUCGAAGGCUUUGGGCGUAGGCCCAGCUGGAGCUUCCGUCAGUGCAGAUCUCGGUGGUAGUAGCAAAUAUUUAAGUUCGAUCCUUGAAGACUGAAGUGGAGAAGGGUUCCACGUGAACAGUAGUUGAAUGUGGGUCAGUCGAUCCUAAGAUACUGGCUUAUGCCUUGUAUCAUUGAGAGGGAAAAGUUUCUUUUCUCUCGGAUAUCAAAAGGGAAUAGGGUUAAUAUUCCCUAACGCAGACACAGAGAUUGCGGCUCUUUGAGUCGCUUGCGCGGUAACGCAUUCGAACUUGGUUACGUCGCUCAGAGACCGAGCUAGAGUUCUCUUCUCUAGUUAAGGAACGGACUCCCUGGAAUCGGUUCAGCCGUAGAUAGGGACGUUGUUUCCGUAAAGCAUCGCGGUUUCUGUGAUGUCUCGUGUUCUCUGGACGGCCCUUGAAAAACCAAGGAAGGCUAUUAAUCUGUGCUGCAUCGUACCGAUAUCCGCAUC